CCCUUAGAUGUCCUGGGCUGCACGCGCGCUACACUGACGAACUCAACGAGCUUAUCACCUUGGCAGAGAUGUCUGGGUAAUCUUUUGAAAGUUCGUCGUGCUGGGGAUAGAUGAUUGUAAUUAUUCGUCUUGAACGAGGAAUUCCUAGUAAGUGUGAGUCAUCAGCUCGCGCUGAUUACGUCCCUGCCCUUUGUACACACCGCCCGUCGCUCCUACCGAUUGAAUGGUCCGGUGAGGUUCUCGGAUUUUUUCUGUUGUUUGGUUCGCUAAACGAUUGAAGAGAGAAGUUACCCAAACCUUAUCAUUUAGAGGAAGUAAAAGUCGUAACA
rnacentral:rRNA from 1 species